rnacentral:rRNA from 1 species
CCAACCCCUGUGAAUUAUACCUUUAAUUUUUGCUUCGGCGGGACUUCGCGCCCGCCGGGGACCCAAACCUUCUGAAUUUUUUAAUAAGUAUCUUCUGACUGGUUAAAAAAAUGAAUCAAAACUUUCAACAACGGAUCUCUUGGUUCUGGCAUCGAUGAAGAACGCAUCGAAAUGCGAUAAGUAAUGUGAAUUGCAGAAUUCAGUGAAUCAUCGAAUCUUUGAACGCACAUUGCGCCCGUCAGUAUUCUGGCGGGCAUGCCUGUUCGAGCGUCAUUACGCCCCUCAAGUCCCCUGUGGACUUGGUGUUGGGGAUCGGCGAGGCUGGUUUUCCAGCACAGCCGUCCCUUAAAUUAAUUGGGGGUCUCGCCGUGGCCCUCCUCUGGGGAGUAGUAAAACACUUGCAACAGGAGCCCGGCGCGGUCCACUGGCGAAAACCCCGGAAUUUUUUAAGGUUGACCCUCUAAUCAGGUAGGACUCACCCGCUGAACUUAAGCAUUAUCAAUAAGCGGAAGGAACCCAUACGAAAAACCCGAGAAACAGGGAUUGCGCCAGUUACGGCGAGUGAAGCGAGCAACAGCUUAAAUUUGAAAUCUGGUACAUCCCAGGGAACAAACCGAAAGUCUGUAAUUUGACGGAGGGAGAGAAUGCUUUUGAAAAGUGAGGUGCCUUUCCGAGUUCCCUGGAACGGGACGCCAUAGUAGGGUUAAGCGAGAGCCGCGUCUGGAAAAUAUGAGAUACGGAGGCGGGAACAUCUGUAAAGCUCCUUCGACGAUUCGAGUCAGUUUGGGACAUGCCUAUCUCUACUAAUGAGGAGGUAUAUGUGUUCUAAAGCUACACAUAUUGGCCAUAUACCGAAUGCCGCAGUCAA